rnacentral:rRNA from 1 species
UACGAAGGGGGCUAGCGUUGUUCGGAAUGACUGGGCGUAAAGCGCACGUAGGCGGAUUGGUCAGUUGGGGGUGAAAUCCCGGGGCUCAACCUCGGAACUGCAUCUGAUACUGCCAAUCUUGAGUUCGGGAGAGGUGAGUGGAAUUCCUAGUGUAGAGGUGAAAUUCGUAGAUAUUAGGUGGAACACCAGUGGCGAAGGCGGCUCACUGGACCGGUACUGACGCUGAGGCACGAAAGCGUCGGGAGCAAACAGG